rnacentral:rRNA from 1 species
UACAGGGGGGGCAAGCGUUGUUCGGAAUUACUGGGCGUAAAGGGCCAGUAGGCGGCCAACUAAGUCACACGUGAAAUCCCCAGGCUUAACCUGGGAACUGCGUGUGAUACUGGAUGGCUUGAAUUCGGGAGAGGGAUGUAGAAUUCCAGGUGUAGCGGUGAAAUGCGUAGAUAUCUGGAGGAAUACCGGUGGCGAAGGCGGCAUCCUGGACCGACAUUGACGCUGAACGGCGAAAGCUAGGGGAGCAAACGGG